AAAAUCCUUUUGCGAUCAACUUGCUUGGAGACGACUCUAUGUAUUAUGCUUUUCUCAUCACAUAAAGAGAACCAAGAAGACUAUAAAAAAAAAAAAAAAAAACUUUGAAGUCGUUUUCUCCAUAAAAAAAUGGAUUGGCUAAAAGGUGAAACUUUUGAGCUUAUAUACAUUCAUUCAAACAAGCAUACAAAAUUUUUCAAAAUGAUUCUAAUAUAAUUAUUAUAAUAAUAAGUAUUAAGAAAAGUGAUUAAAAUUGGAAAAAUGCCCACUAACAAAGUACUUUAAUUUAUCCUCCCACAAGGAGAAAUUAACAAACACGAAAAGAAAAAGGUGUGUGUGUGUAUGAUUGGUGUUUGUCCAAAAAAUUUAGAAGGAUCAAGAUGAACUUCUUCCUUCUUAUCUUUUUCUCCUUCUUCUCUUAUUCGUAUAGUUUAAUCAAAAAUUAUUGUUCUUUACAUAUUUAAGUUUCUACAAACAACACCUUUAAAAUAUAAAAAUAUAAAACUAAGAAAAAAAAGAGAAUGUUUAUAUAAAAUUCCCUCCUACGAUACUUCAGGUUAUUUGAUUUUUCACCAUUUUUAUUUUUAUUCUCUUCAACUUUUUAAAAUUUUCAAUUCUUUAAUUGAUUGGUAUAGAUACCUGAUAUUGAUGUAUAACUCAUUUUACUAUAUAAUACUACUAGGCAAAAUAUCUCUAGAAAGAUCAAAUAGUGUACUGCAUGUUCUGUUCCUUUUUAUAUACCUCUAUCCAAAAGUUUUUUCUUACAAGAAAAAUGUAGUAAGUAAUAUGAAAUUUAAAUACAUAUAUAGUCUUUUAAAUUAUGAGCAUUUUUAAAUUAAAACAUAACUUUUUUUUUUGGUAUUUUUAGGAUAUAUACUAUAUUGUUUUGUGUUCAACAUCUUAAUUAAUAUUUUGAAUAGUGGUUUGUGCGGGCAUCUCUAUAUUAGUAUAUUAUGUUUUUAAUCCGUUUCUAUUAUGUUUGCUUACAUAUCGUAUGUUGUUAGUUAUUUUCAUAAUUGUUUUGUUGAUAGAUCUAAACAAUUAGGUUAGUGGGCUAUGACCAUGGCCCAACAGUUUUGCUGCAAAUGUGGCCCAUUUGUCUUUUUGAAUACAUAGCAUAUUAUGUCAUAGUUGUUUUUUGUUUACAGAUCUAAAUAGUUAGGUUAGGAUGUUUCCAUAUAAUUGCUGUCAAAUUCUUAUCGAAUGUUGUGUUUUUAAUCAGUUUCACAUUUGUUUACUUAUAUUUUUUUUGCUUACACAGUGUAUGUUGUUAGUUAUUUUCAUAAUUAUUUUGUUGAUAGAUCAUAAUUAGGUUAGUGGGAUAUGACCAUGGGCCAGUUUUGCUGCAAAUCUGGCCCAUUUGUCUUUUUGAAUACAUAGCGUACUAUGUCAUAUUUUUUUUUUGUUUACAGAUCUAAACAAUUAGGUUAUGAUGCUUCUAUAUAAUUUUUGUCCAAUUCUUAUUGAAUCUUGUGUUUUUAGUUAGUUUCGGAUCUGUUUGCUUGCAUAGUGUAUGUUGUUAGUUAUUUUCAUAUUUGUUUUGUUGAUAGAUCACAGUUAGGUUAGUGAGCUAUGCCCCAACAGUUUUGCUGCAAAUAUGGCCCAUUUGUUAGCAACAUAUAUAGUAGCAGUAAAACCUCUAUAAAUUAAUACUCGAUAAAUUAAUAAUCUCUAUAAAUUAAUAUAUUUUUUUGUUUUAGACACAUUUCAAUAAAAUUAUAAAAUAAUAAUAUUUUUGAAAAUCCAUUGUAAAUAUAUGGUCCCAAUAAUAGUAUAAAUUAAUAUUACAUAAAAUUAUUAAUAUUUAGGGAAAUUCUCUUAAAUUCCUUGAAAAUAGGUAUUUUUCCAAGAUACCAUUACUAGUUUUACUUUCCAAAAACUAUCACUAAAAUACUUUUUCCAAAAAUACAACAAAAAUAAAACUAAAAUUUUUAAUAUUCAAAACUAAUUCUUAAAUCCUAAACACUAAACCCUACCUCUAAAAGUUAUACUCUAAAUAUAAAUAUUCAACCCAAACAUUAAAAAGAUAAUUCUAUACCUUCAAAAAUCAAAUUAUUAUGUUUAUAGUAAGCACAAAAAGAAUAUUUUUUUGCUUUAUAUCAAAUAAUAAUUAAAAUUAUUUUAAAAAACCAUAACUAUCUGUACAUAUCUUCACCGAAAACAAAAUUAUUUUAGAAAAUUAUUUUUAAUAAACACAACUCAUGGAAAUGGAUUUGUAUUUUCUCAAGUUCAUUGUCAUACAUACUUAUUUAAAGUUUGCAAGGGGAAAAAAGAAAAUAUGAUAUGAGCCUAGAUGUUUGAAUAUGGGCUUUUUAAUAAUUUCAAUUGGGCCGUUUUUCACUUCCGUUGUAAGAGAUCACUUUUAAAAAUGCGGCCCAAUGGAUUUUGAAGGUGGGAAAAAGAAAUCACACGCACACGGAUAAAGGAACUAUGUAGUGUUUUGUAACAGUACAGCUUGAAAUAAAGUUUCCUUAAAUUGUGUGUGACACCAACUUUCAAUAAAGGCAAGUAGCCAAAGCAGAAAAGGUGAAACUGAUAGCUUUUUUUUCCAGAAUGAAGAAAAAGAAAAAGCUAAUUCGAAUAUCAAAUAAAGAAGACAAGUUCUCUGUGACCAUUGUAGUGAACUCGACUUUUUAUAGCAAAAGCAAAUAAACAAAGUGGAGUCUUUCUUUGUCCACUCUCAUCAGUCAUCACACGCUUUACUUCUUUAUCUCGUGACUCUCAAAGCCAAAUAGAAUUCGUCAGUUUUGUUUGGAUUUAUAGAAAUUCAAGAGCCAUCGAUGUGUCUGUGAUCUUCAAAUGGGUCUAUGCUCAGCUCACUUGGCUGUAAUAUGCUUGUUCAUAGUACCUUGUGUUCUUUCCCAAGUUACAGGUAUACUCUGUUCUGCUCAUAAUCUGUUUGUUUGAAUGCUCCAAAGAAAGAGUGUGUUUUUGUGUGUGUGUGUGUGUAGAAAGUCUUGUUCUUGAUGUGUUCUUGAUGAUGUACAAUCAUAAAGCUUUGAUCUUUAGAUUUUAUAAACAAGGUUUGCCUCGAAUUCUCCAACACUAAACUGUUUUCUGGUUAAAAUUGUCCACUGCAAAGAAUGGUUUUGUGGAAUUUUAGCGUAGAAGACUCUUGUCAAGCGGUUUGCUGUAAUGGAAAAAGUGGAAUUUUGAUGAAUGGCUAUUUUUGCAGAGUUUGU
rnacentral:lncRNA from 1 species